rnacentral:rRNA from 1 species
CCCUUAGAUGUUCUGGGCUGCACGCGUGUUACAAUCGGGAGUACAACAAGAUUGCAAAUCCUAGUGGAUGAGUGGUUCUUCGAAAUUUUCUGAAGACUGGGAUAGUUGAUUGAAAUUAUUCAACUCGAACGAGGAAUUCCUUGUAAUUGUAAUUCAUUAUAUUGUAAUGAAUACGUCCCUGCCCUUUGUACACACCGCCCGUCGCUCCUACCGAUUGAACGAUCCGGUGAAUUAUUUGGAGUAGCUCUGGAAGUUGCAGAACUUCCUAUGUCACGAAAUUUUGUAAACCUUAUCGUUUAGAGGAAGGAAAAGUCGCAACA